AACAAUGGCCAUAGAUAAUCUAUUGCGAUGCAUAAGAAGAAUUAUAAUGAAAUAUCAACUGCAAGAAAAUAUACAAAAAUUUUUAAUAGAAUUUAGAUUGUAUUUUUCAUAUCAAAAAAUGAUUGAUUUUCAUCGCAUUAAAUCAUGACACUAUAUAUUGCAUAGAUCUUAAAGCAUAUCAAUCUAUUUCUUUUCUCCGCCGGCAU
rnacentral:lncRNA from 1 species